rnacentral:sRNA from 1 species
AAAACAUAUACAACUC